rnacentral:rRNA from 1 species
GACGUAGGGCGCGAGCGUUGUCCGGAUUUAUUGGGCGUAAAGAGCUCGUAGGCGGCUUGUCGCGUCGACUGUGAAAACCCGCGGCUCAACUGCGGGCCUGCAGCCGAUACGGGCAGGCUAGAGUUCGGUAGGGGAGACUGGAAUUCCUGGUGUAGCGGUGAAAUGCGCAGAUAUCAGGAGGAACACCAAUGGCGAAGGCAGCUCGCUGGAACGGUACUGACGCUGGAGGCGCGGAAAGCGUGGGGAGCGAACAGG